rnacentral:rRNA from 1 species
AGCGAACGCUGGCGGCAGGCCUAACACAUGCAAGUCGAACGAACUCUUCGGAGUUAGUGGCGGACGGGUGAGUAACACGUGGGAACGUGCCUUUUGGUUCGGCAUAACUCAGGGAAACUUGUGCUAAUACCGAAUGUGCCCUUCGGGGGAAAGAUUUAUCGCCAUUAGAGCGGCCCGCGUCUGAUUAGCUAGUUGGUGAGGUAACGGCUCACCAAGGCGACGAUCAGUAGCUGGUCUGAGAGGAUGACCAGCCACACUGGGACUGAGACACGGCCCAGACUCCUACGGGAUGCAGCAGUGGGGAAUCGUGCGCAAUGGGCGAAAGCCUGACGCAGCCAUGCCGCGUGAAUGAUGAAGGUCUUAGGAUUGUAAAAUUCUUUCACCGGGGACGAUAAUGACGGUACCCGGAGAAGAAGCCCCGGCUAACUUCGUG